UCGGAUUUCUUUCAACUGACUUUCGCUUUCAUUCUGAUUGUAUUGAUCUUGGUUUUUAUUAUUUUCCCGGAUCGCUGAAGCAUGUGUGCAAAAAUUUACUAGCGGCUCCAUCCGACUUCGCUCGGUUAAAACCAUGAUCUUCAUCAGAAUCACACUAUCUAUUUGUGAAAUACAUACAAAAAUCCAUCAGAUUUACAUUCAUUGCUCUGACAUGAAACCUCUAUGAAACCACAAGAGUCGUCACCAUGCAUGCGGCUAAUAGUAAAACCAGAGAAAGGAAACCUCCUUAUUUUUAUAAAAAUAGUGAAUGUGUUAGCAUAUAUUCAACUAAUAGAAAUACUAAAUUAUAGUUUGUCAAGCAAAUACCUGUGCCACCGAGGUCGACAAUAAUCGAGUCGAGGUCGAUAAGAGAGAUUUACUCCACAUAAAAUAUUGUUGAUUACAAUUAUUCAUGUGCUAUCUAAAUAUUUUACGACGCCAUUUUGUUUUGCAAUAAUUAUGACAAGCGCAAUUUGGCGACCUCUGACUGUUUUAUCGCGUUUGUCGGGAGAAAUCCCAGGAAAUAAAUAAUUCCACAUGAUAUUUCUGAUGUAGAUUGAUCGCUUUGUUAAGGGGACGUCUGAGUGCUUUUAAUUUGAUGUGUUUUAUGUAUUUUUGUAUUGUCAUUGUUACACAGCAUUACCAUACAAUUUGACAAUGCCAAUUUCGCAGGAAAAAUUGCGAAACAUUUUUUAUUUAUAGGUAAGUACUUUAUGAAAGACUAAGACAGUGUUCUAUAAAUUACGAUAAACAUAAUAAAUUAUAUUAUCAUAUACCUAAAUGAAUUAUUGAGAUUAAUUUUUAAUAUGUCUACAUAAAGUAAUAAAUGAGAUCUUCAAUUUUACACCUUCAUCAUAGUUAAAAACACUCACGGUUUGUCACUUGCAAAUAUAAGAAAACUAGAUCAGAAUCAGUUCAGCCAUUUUUCUGGUACAAUGCCACGGACAGACAUACAGGUACACUUUUAUCUACGCUCCUUCUAUCGUCGGGGAUGUAAACAUAUUUAAAGCAUACCCUUAACAGAUAAGGACUUCAAUUUGAUACCGGGUUGACCCGGGGCUAACCAUUUUUCUGCCAAAAUAAAUGUCAUUAAUACUGACAUUGAUUGAUUGUCAUAUUUAUUAUAUCGUGUACGGUAUCUGUUAGGGUAAUUACUGAGGACAAUAAAUUUUUUCUGUGCGAGGGUUAUUGAGAUGACUUUUUAAUAUACCCCUUUCUUGUCACUGGUAUUGUAAUUAUUUUAUUACACUGUACUGUAUACUGUUCUUAAUAUUGAGCUAAAGCAUGUUGUGUCUCUUUCUGUUCAUGGCAAAUAUUAGAAAGUGCGAUAGUGAGAAUAUAUAUGUUAGCUUAGGUUAGGGUUAGAGUCAGCUAACUCACUAGUGUGUAAACACGGAACACAGAAAACAUGGUAUGGUGUCAUUAAGACAAUUUAUAACAGUACAUCAAGUGUCGCCGAAUGCACACAUCAAACGGUAAAAUAAAUAUAGUGCUUUAAACGUUAAAUUAGAUUGCAUAUUUUCUGUGUCGUAAAAGCCAUGACAGAUUCCUUUAGGUAAGACUAUUUCAUUAAGUAACAACGGUCAAUUACACGAUUAGGUGCGAGCUUCAUUAUAAUAUUUAUUUAUUUUAGAACUUACAAGAAAGAAGGUCAGUUACAAAAUUCGUUAGUAAUAUAAAAAUAGUAUAAUGCUUGGUAUAUGUACUAUUAUUAUCAUUACAGUAUUAAAGUGAAAUUAUACCAGAGAGAGAGAAAAAUGUAUACAAAAAUUAUACAGAGCAAAGAAAACGGAAAUUUUGAAAUUAUGUACUAAAUAUUUCAAUAUUGCCUGUCACAUGCUUUCCGUAACAAAGUCAAGAGUAAGCUUCAAGGCUUAUCAAGACAAAGUAAAUGAUAUUUUUCUUAAAUCAGGUUCUUCACAAUGUUUUUUUUUUUUUUUCAUUGAUCAAGAGCAGUUUGUGGUCUAUGAAAAUUUACCGUAAAUAUCUAUGAAAAAUAAAGUUUGCAGCAAACGUUUAACUAGGUAUACUAAUAUUAUUGUAAGACUUACAGUAAAUCAGUUAACUUCUAGUUAACUUAUUCGAUUUCGCGGAAUCGAUAGAAUUUAAGUAUUCGAUUUAAGUCGAGAUACGAAUUUAAAGCGGACGUUUGCUGACAAGUGUCCUAAUACAGGAUAUGUCAGAAAAAAUAUUUUACAAUAGAAUAUUUUCGUAUGUUACAAAAUAUUAAAUUAUUUUUUGCAUAUUAUUUAA